rnacentral:rRNA from 1 species
UGGAGAGUUUGAUCCUGGCUCAGGACGAACGCUGGCGGCGUGCUUAACACAUGCAAGUCGAACGGUAAGGCCCUUCGGGGUACACGAGUGGCGAACGGGUGAGUAACACGUGGGUGACCUGCCCUGUACUUCGGGAUAAGCCUGGGAAACUGGGUCUAAUACCGGAUAUGACCUUCUCCUGCAUGGGGGUUGGUGGAAAGCUUUUGCGGUACAGGAUGGGCCCGCGGCCUAUCAGCUUGUUGGUGGGGUAAUGGCCUACCAAGGCGACGACGGGUAGCCGGCCUGAGAGGGCGACCGGCCACACUGGGACUGAGACACGGCCCAGACUCCUACGGGAGGCAGCAGUGGGGAAUAUUGCACAAUGGGCGGAAGCCUGAUGCAGCGACGCCGCGUGAGGGAUGACGGCCUUCGGGUUGUAAACCUCUUUCAGUAGGGACGAAGCGCAAGUGACGGUACCUACAGAAGAAGCACCGGCCAACUACGUGCCAGCAGCCGCGGUA